UACCCACUCACCACCCGCAGGUAUAUGUAUGCAUGGAUGUAAUCCUUUGUUCCCUUUUCUCUGGCAACUCCUCACUUUCUUUGAAAAAUCUCUCCUCUACCUCACCAGUAAAUACUGUGGUUCCGUGUGAUUCUAUCUUUAUUCUUCUCUAAUCCUAGUGUUCACAUGACCUCUUCUUCUAGGCCAACAUCAUCAACCACCCCUUUUACUAUGAUGAAUCCCAGAGGUCAUUCCUGAUCACCUGACUUAUUGGACAGCUCAAUAUGGAUUUCCCAAAAGCAUCUUAAAAUUCAACAUUCUAACAUUAAAUCCAACAAAUGACCCCAUUCACAAAACUGCUGUUCUUCAUAUGCUGCAGAUCUCAUAAUAAUAGAAGUACUGGUUUCUCAGCAAACUUAAAUGAAAAUUCUUACAGUUCCCUUAACUCUUCUUCCUCCAAUUUAUUUUUCAGCCCAUCAAUCCUAAUUCUUACUUCUUGAAACUUCCCACUUUUUGUCUACAUUACAACCUUUUAAAUCAUCACUUAUCUAAUAUAAUGCAAUAGCUUGAUCAUCAGGACCUGCCUCGUCUGACAUUCUAUCUCUCAACCAGAUGUAUCUGAUUGUUUGACUCCCCUAAUUUAAAAAAUCCUUAUACUUAGCCAGACAAAAAAACUUUUUCAUAUAAGUGCCACAUUUUAUUUUUAUGUAACUCCUUGCUCUGUAUUAACCGUUUUCCUGUUCCUAAGAUGUUCUUCUUCAUAUUUGACAUCAAGUUCUCAUUGGUUCUUUCAGAUUGUGUCCCAUUUCACCCUUUAGAGAAUUUUUGACUUGCAUCCCCAUUCUCAAGCCCCAACCUAGGAAAUUAGCUGUUCUAUACUCCUUGAUCCCCUAACACUUGAUCUGCAAAUGUAUCUUAUUAGAUCACAGCUAUUUGUUUACAUGUGUAUCUCUCCAACUAGAAUAUGAGCUCUUUCAGGGAAAAAACCCUCUUUUAUUCAUCUUUGUCUCCUCAUUGUCUAUUAAUAUUCAAUAAAUUUGUAAAUGAAUGUCCAUCCUGCUGAAGCUCACAAGGUAGUUAAGAAACAAUUUACAUACAGAUUGAUUAGGAAAAAAUGCAAUACAGAGAUAAAGUUGAUAGUUGAAAAUAGUAAAGCCUGCAUAAUAUUGCCUUACAGAAGGUAAAAGCUUAUUUUUUUUCUAAAUUAUGAAAUAGUGUAACUUUUUAUUUUUUAAAUCAAUUUAAAUUUUUUUUAAGAGGGAUUGGGGAGGGGCAAAAAGAGAGAGAGAGAGAAUCUCAAGCAGGCUCCAUGCCCAGCAGGCUCCAUCUCAACCCUGAGAUCAUGACCUGAGUUAAAAAUCAAGAGUCGGAUAUUUAACUGACUGAAUCACCCAAGUGCCCCAUUAAUGUAACUAAUUAUAAAUUUGAUUCUCAAACUGUAUGCUGCACAUUUACAAACACACAAAUUUGAUAUGACAUACACUGAUGAAAUGUCCAAUAGGAUGAGGUAUAAAUAAAUAAGCAAAUUAGAGUAAGCCAUCCAACUAAAUAGUAACUCUGGUAAAGGUAUUUCUUGGCAUUCUGUAGUUUAAAUACCCUUCAGUUUGCUAGGAUUGAGAAUAGACCAAAAAAAAAAAAAAAAAAAAAAAAAAGGACUGAGAGAGAUUGUAUCAUAGUCUUCUAGCCUAAGCAACACAUUUGUCGGACAGCAAGAUCUCUGGGGAGGCUUUUGGUCUUUAAACAAGGGGACAUGGAAGUUUCUAAGAAUAUGCUUCUAAAAAUAAAAUCUAAUGUACUCUAGUAGGCUAAAGAAAUGAGAGUUUUGAUAAGAUAUGAUGAACUUCAAAAUGGCAGGAACUCAUAGAAAAAAA
rnacentral:lncRNA from 1 species